rnacentral:lncRNA from 1 species
AACUGUCUGCAAGGCUGCUUGUCACCUUCGAAUAUACUCCAUCAACAUGCUGCCACUUCAUCUUGUUUAGGCUCUUCGACUGCUUUAUAGAAGGACACUGAAGUCCACAUCUAUCUCCUUGAGACAGGCAAAGAAACAAAUCCUUUAUCCUGUCUCAAAAAGAGCUGACAAGCUUUUAGUAGUGUUUAUCUUCACUGAAGGGUGAUAACCUUGAAAAUGAAAGUGAAAAGAGACUGAUACAAUUAGGUAUGUAGUCUUCUCCAUACUGUAUUACAAUUGGUUUUCUUUUAUAGUUUAACAUAGUAUAACAUUCUUUUAUAGUUUUAUAUAAGUCGAAGUUUUCUGUUGUCCACACUGGUUUUUCUAAAACUAAAUUUAAAGUUACAGUUUAUUUACAAAAUAUCAGUGCAUCAUGUUGUGACUAUUUUGCAAAAAUGUAAUUUUCCUCUUAAGCCAGAAGGGGUUAAAAAUAUUUCUUUGAAAUGUUUUAUCCUACCAUUCUUCCCAUAUCAUCUAUGCCAUUUUUUUCUCUCCCUUGACAUUUGACUCCAUGUUAUGUCAUAUUCAGAGAGAUUUUUCUAAAAUAAAUUUCCCAGAUUACAGGCAAAUCUUAGAAUUCUAAUUAUUUACAUCUUAUAGAGUCAAGGACAGUAAAGGGUAGAUUUGACAUUUCAUUAAUAACUUGUGUAUUCAAAUUUCCAUUUGUGUUAAAUUGUGCCCACUCCCGAGGUUCCAACAAAUAUAGAUAUGCCUGGCAAGCUAGUAGCUUGGUUAUCCACAGGUCAUUUUGUGUGAACAACCAUGAGUCCCUUAGAAAAGAAUUCAUCCUGCUGUGAGUUGGCUGAAAGCAAAAAAUACAAAAAAGAAAAGAAAAGAAGAAAGGAAAAUAGCUCAUCCUAUCAGAACAAGAAGUCAGACACAAAGAUUUGGCCACUAGAGGAGAGUGGUGUCUCUGAGUCCAAUGUCAUGUCUGCUUUGUCCCCAUGCCAGCUCCACAAGUUUUCAUGUCUAAGUCACAGGGGGGAAAGAGUCCACGAGCAAAAAAUCUAAGUGUAACUCAAAAUAGAAGAGAGACAUUCUUUCCCACUACGUGGCAGAGCAAGGCGUAUCUGUGGUCUCUUGUGGGUGUCUGAUUCAGCUACAAGAGAUCACAGUGGUUCCUAACAAAUGACUGGCAACAGGUUGCUGAAAGGGGCAGCAGUCAGCAGGUAAACUUGUACCCAGCAUUCGCAAACCCCUCCCUGGCGACUCAUCGACACACAGAAGGGUCACUCUCAUGAGACUGAAAUCCUGCAAAGGAAGAGGAAGCAUCCUCUAAGGCACCACUGCUACUCUCCUCUCUCUGCUACAGCUACCUUUCCAUUCUCCCAUGCCUCUCUCCAUGGGUGUGCUUAGCCAACAAAUCCAGGAUCUGUGGCAGUACUGAAUCAUCAAGUCCCAGGGGAUAAUAGCCAGAAAGGGCCUUGGAGGCCAGAUUGACACUGCCCUAUCCCAUCUCUCUGGAGCUAGUUGGUGCUGGCAAGGCUCUGAGUAGCAACACAGUCUGUGAGUCAGCGUCCGCCCACAGCUGAAGGUUGUUGCUUGUUCUCAGUGGGAGCUGAGUGUGGACAAAAUAUCCCUGUGGGCUUAAUCUGGCCUGCAGGCUGUAUUUAGCCACCCCUGCUCUGGUCCUAAAUUACUUCGCAGUGAUACAAGAAUUUCUAAAAGUUACACUGUAAGGUUUUGGCUUAGAACUUGAUAUUACCUCAAGUGUGUUAUCCUAAUAAAAUACAGGCCAUCUCAUGCUUUUUAUUCCAUUUAUACAGAGCCAAUGAUCUUAUGCAUGGAGGUCUUUCUUUGGCCUUGAUUGUUUUUUUAUCUUUCCAUCUUCCCACCUCCACAAAAUCUUUAUUAAGUCUUGAAGAUAUGCCAGGGAGUAGCUCUGAACAAUGUAAAUUAUAACUUUCCCUAAAAUGGCACAAGCUAAAACAUAAAGAUAUUAAGACUCCAUAACAAGGUUUUAAGAUGCUUAGAACUGUACCACUGGGCUGGGCAUAGAGUAACACAUCAGUAGGUAAUUUUUUAGUUGAAUUUUGAUGAAUGAAAUGGAAUGAAGUAUCUGUUUGUUUGUUUGUUAAGAGCAAGGCAGUGUCAUAUACUCAGAGAAGGAACUUGGAAGAAGCUUCUUUGAAGAAGUCAUAGGUUCACAUUCUACUUCCCUUACAAAACGUAUAACCUUGGGAAAAAACAUAAAAUGGAGAUAAAUUAUAUCUCUGCAGAAUGUUAUAAUGAUAAAUUAGGUAAGUAUGUAAAUCAUCUGAUAUAAUGUCUGCUUCAAUUGGAAUUGACCAUCUUUUUUUAAAGUCAUAAAGAUUAUCCUUAUGGCUAUAUGCAACGAGGACUAAAAGGUCAGUGUCUGUCACUUCUCUAAGCAAAUGUUGGGCAGAUCAGAUAAGGGAUACAUACUGUCAGGAGGUCUCUCCUGUUUAGAAAAUGAAUGUCAGUUAUAAUUUGAAAAUGGAAGUUUUUGAAGGCAUCUAAGCACUGGAUGCUAUGAAGAACUCCCAGAAAUAUCAAGAACUCCCAGAAAUAUCAAUUUUCCACUUUCCUAUCACAGAAAGCUCUAGGCAGUCCCUAGUUUAAACAUGGCAUAUACCAUUUGGCCUGGAACAUCUGGGAGGUGAGACUACCCCCAUGUUCCAGGGUCAGAUUUGGCCCACUGGACAAGUCACCACCUCUAUUCAUCUGAGGCAAUUCAUUGUGGAGACAGCACUAGACCGACUCAGGGGUCUAAAACCAUGAAAUCUAGAAUUGGUUCCAUUCCCUUCCUAGCUGUAUGGCCUGGGCAAGUUACUUAAGCUCCUUGAAUCUCAGAUUCCUCAUUUAUGCAAUGAGAACAAUAUCUGUUCUUCCUGCACGAUUAAGUUACUGAUGGUUAUUGUCAUUUGCUCUACCCUAGCUCCACCUAUAUUGCUCGGGCUUAAUGAGUGUUUCCUCAGCCUUGUGUCAGGUCUCGACUUGUAUUACCUCAUGUAGUUCUCAUAUCAACUUAAUGAGGUAACUGUGAUUCCCAUUUUACAGAUGAGAAAACUGAAACACUGAGGGGUUAAUUAACUUACAUACUUGGUUAGUGGCAGAGCAGGAAUCUGACUUCAAAGCCCAUGUGCCUAGCCAUUAUGCUAAGCUGUCUCUUAGAAACAGGUAGGUUUUGAGUGCCCAGCACUCAUUUAACAUGUAUGUAUUUAGUGCAAAGUUCUCGCCCUUGAGGACCUCAUAUCCAAAGUCAUAGUGUAGAGAUGUGCAGGGUCAAAUUGAUCUUUGUACCCACCCCGGAAGAUCUGAAAGAACCCCAGGUCUUCAGCAAGUGGAGCAAUUUCCUCUGUUAGGAUGUAAGACCGAAAGAGACACACCCACAACCAGAGUCACCCACACUCCGAUGGGGCUAGCGAUAGUCAGUCUGGCCAUGUGGUGCCACUUCCUCUCUGGUUUGUAAGCACUUUCUCUUCUAUUUCUACUAACAAGGCAUUUAAAGAAACAAUUGUGUUCUUUAGUCAGAAGAAAAAUUGCAUUUUGUUUAGUCUGAAAUAAAUAAAUUUAAAGCUACACUGCAGAAAUAAAACCUUUAAAAAUCACAUAAAUGAUCAUAUAUUUUUUCUGGGUUUUCUUACUAAUAUGCAUAGCACUACAGUACUUAAUUGUUUCCACAGUCAGAGCCUAGAAUUUUAAAACUCCAAGAUAGUUGUCUAAUGCCAUUUUACAUAAAAAGAUUAGAUUGAAACUUUCGUCUCCUCAUUUCCAGUCCUGCACUCUUUCCACUGAAAGACUGUCAUUCUUUAACUAUGCUAGUUUUAAUUCCCUGCCUGAAGAAUUGUGUCCUUUCUUCCCUUCUGCCAAAUUCCUAUUGAUUGGCUGGUGAUGAGUUAGUAAAUGCUUGAUGAGAAUGCCAUUUAGGCCUUCAGUGUCAAGAUCAAGGAAGGCUUAUAAAGAGAUGCCUUUCAUCUUUUCCUAAAGUCAGUGCCUUAGGUAAUCACUUCAUGUCCAGAGGCAAAGAGUCCCCCAGAUGAGGUGCCAUGACUCGGGGAACUCUGGCCUCAGCUUUGUCAGCUCAUUAAGAAUACUGUCUACCACAAAGUGACUUUUGAACACACUAAGUAGCAAGAAUCAAAUGGUUUCUGCAGCGACAGGGUCAGCUGGAUCAGAGCCUCAGCCUUGAAAUAAAUCAGAUAUUGAAGAAGUAAACAACAAAAGAAGCUGAAGACAGACUGGAUACAGACAUGGUGCUUUUAUCUGUCAGCCAGCAAGCCAUCAGCUUUCUCUUUUGCAAAGAGACAUGGUGUUUCUAUAGUGCCAUCUUAUACGUUGGGUUACAUGCCCAUCUUACUUGCUUGUUUGUCAGCUCUUGGAGAGCAAGGACCCUAUCAUGCAUAUUUUUAUUCCUUAGUUUGCAGCACAUUCUCUUUUAUAUAACAGGUGUUUGAUGUAUGAAGAAAUAAAAAAGAAAGGAAGGAAAACUCUAUGUCCUGUAUCCUGAAGAAAUUUAUAAUAAGGCUUAUUGCUUUUCUCCCAGACUGUAUAAAAUUCAAUGAUAGAAAACAUGCAGAAUUAUCUUGUAGAAGAAAUAGAGAAAAUGGAGAACAAGAGAGGCUAUUAAAGACAGGAAUUAAUUUAUGGCAGGGUAGGGAGGCUCAUGCCUGUAAUUCCAACAUUUCGGGGAGCCAAGGUUGGUGAACUGUUUGUGCUCAGGAGUUUCAGUCCAGCCUGAGCAACACGGCAAAACCCCAUCUCUACAAAAAAUACAAAAAUUAGCCAGGCGUGGUGGCGCAUGCCUGUAAUCCCAGCUACUUGGAAGACUGAGGAGAAAGGAUCGCGUGGGCCCGGGAGGUUGAGGCUGCAGUGAGCUGUGAUGAUAAAUACAGAAAUAAAUAAAAAGAAGAAAGGAAUUAACUUUUGUUUAGGGAAUACUAUGCCAAACACUGUAGCAGGCAAUUUGUAUAUACCAUCUUAUCUAAUCUUACCAUAACACCAUGAGUCAGAUAUUCAUAUUUCUCAUUUUUAUAUCUAUAGAUAAAGAAACCAGGACUCAAAGAUGAAGUAACUUGUUCAAAGUCUGGCAGCUACUAAGUGACAGAGCUGAAAUUCAAGCCACCAACUACAAGGUUCAUAUUCUGUUCACUUCAUCAGGCUGUUUACUGUAGGCAAAAAUACUAUUUUACAGCCAUAAUUAAACAACUUUCUAGCAAACGGCAUUUCUAUCAUUCUAGCACCACUAGCAUUAUCGCCUCUUCUCCCAUUGACAUAUUUUUUUAAGGCACUAACCUGGAAUUUCUUCUUCCAGUACAGAUGGACUAAGGGGGCGCAAACCCCCCUGGGUGAAACAACAAAAAGAAAAACAGAUAAAAUAUAUUAAACAACAGCUCUCAAGAUACUAGCAUCAGGCAACAAACCAAAGUGAUCCCUGUGAGAUAGUAAACAAAUGAGGUGAACCCUAUGACAGGUGCAACUUACUGCUUUGCAGAGUUUCCAGGCCAUGACACUAAGAGGAGAUAUCCAAGCAGAGCCCAGUGAAUGACCCAGAUUGAGGAGACAGAGCUGAAAGUCCAAGAAGACCCAAGGCAGCUGGAAUUUGCAAGACCGAGUACCAGAGAAAAGAGGGCUGAGCAGAGAUAGAAUUCCAGAGAUUUGUAAAGGGUCUCCCUUAAGUAUUUAGCAGAGUAUUAAUCAUUGUAGGCAUUUGAGGCAGUUACCUGUGGCCAGGAAAAAAACCACCCAAGAGGAUUAAAGGAAACAGUGUUUUAGCACUCACACAAGGCCAGAAAUAGCCUAUUUUCCCAUCCAGAUUGACUUAACUUCGUAAUUUGUGGGGCUUUGGGUAAAAAAGUCUACUCAUUAGUUAGUCUUACCUCAGUAGUAGGGAAUAAGUAGAUGUAGACUAAACACUAUACUGGUACCACCAAAAAAGCUUUAAAAACAGACUUAAAAGAAGUAAAUGCUUUUCAAGUAAUUUAACUGCAUCCUAGAACAAAAGACAUGCAAUUGGAGUCCCUGAAAGGAGGAUGUGAGAAAAAAUAUUACAGGAAAUAAUGACUAAAAUUGUUUCAAAUUUGAUGAAAGGAUAGACACAAGAAACUCAACAAAACUCAAAGCGUACAAGAAACAUGAAGAAGCCAGGUGCAGUGGCUCAUACUUGUAGUCCCAGCUGCUUGGGAGGCUGAGGCAGGAGGAUCUCUUGAGCCCAGUAGAUUGAAUCUGCAGUGAGCUGUGAACGCACCACUGUACUCCAGCCUGGGAGACAGAGCAAGACCCUAUCAAAAAAAAAAGGAAGAGACAUGAAGAAAACUACACUAAGGCACACAAUAAUCAAACUGCUCAAAAUCAGUGAUAAAGUGAAAAUCUUAAAUGCAACCAGAAGGAAAAAGACAUUAUAUACAGAGAAACAACGAUAAGGAUGACAUUAGAUUUAACUUCAGUAAUAAUGCAAUCCAGAAAACAGUGGAACAACAUUUUUAAAGUGCUGAAAGAAAAAAGCUAGAAUUCUACUCUCAGUAAAAAUGUCUUUAUAAGAAUUUUUUUCCUUUUUUUCUUUUUUCCUUGAGAUGAAGUCUCACUCUGUUGCCCAGGCUGUUCUUGAACUCCUGAGCUCAAACAACUCUCUGCCUUGGACUCCUAAAGUGCUGGGUGGGAUUACAGGCGUGAACCACCGUGCCUGGCCAGGACAUUUUUGGACAUACGAAGCUGAAAGAGUUCAUCACCAGCAAAUCCAUACUACAAAAAAUGUUAAAGAAAUUCUUCAGGCAGAAGAAAAAUACCCUAUAUGAAAAUUUUAAUCUGCACAAAUAAAUGAAGAGAACCAAAAAUGGUAAUACAUGGCAUGAUUGUUAAUUUUAUGUGCCAACUUAGUGGCCAUGAGGUGCCCAGAUUAAACAUUAUUCCUGGAUGUGUUUGUGAGGGUGUUUCUGAAUGAGAUUACAUUUGAAUCAGCGGACUCAGUAAAGUAGAUUGCCCUCCCAGUGUGGAUGGGCCUCAUCCAAUCUGUUAGGAGCCUAAAUGGAAUAAAGUGUGGCAGAAAGGAAAAUUCACCCCUUUUGCUUCCUGCCUGUCUGGUUGAACUGAGACAUCUCAUCCCAUCUUCCCUAGCACUCAGAUUGGGAUUUACAACACCAGGUCCCUUGGUUCUCAGGCCUUUGGACUUGGACUGAAUUACACCACUGCUUUCCGCGGUCUCCCAACUCGUGGAUGGCAGACUGUGGGACUUCUUAGCCUCCAUAAUCAUCGGAGCCAAUUUCUCAUAAUAAACAUAUUUACUAUACCCUACUGGCUCUGUUUCUUUGGAGAACUCUGACCAAUACACAUGAGUAAAUACAUAAAGUAUUUUUUCUUAUUUACAUCUAUUAAAAGAUAGUUGACUGUUUACCCAACAGUAGUAACAAUGUGUUUGGGG